CUGAUGUUCUCUUAUUAGCUGGCCACCAUACAGCUGCUGUUAGGAUAUCUAAUCAAUUGGUGACGAAACAAUGCUUUGGAAUUGUGUAUGAUAGUUGUCAAGUCUGCUCCUACAAAGAACUUGCGUUGUGGAUGGUUCUAUUGGAAAGGGGUUGUGGAUGGUUUUUGGGAAAUAAAUCGUCUAAACGCCCUUUUGAGGAUGGUGGAAUUUGAAUCUCACACCUGCCCAUCCCCAUCAUUUGGUCUUUAAGAUCAAGGUGUGGCCGCUAGGUCCCUUGUUGGUUAUGUAACAAUGAUACCCAGCGUUUAGCAUAUGAAGGUGAUUAUUGUGGUUUCACCGAUGAGGUAGCCCCGACUUUGAUUCUUGCUUAGCUAAAAUUCACAUGAAUUGGGGAAAAACUACUGUUCUACCCGAUAAUGAAUUCUAUCAUACAAGACAGAUCCAUGGGUUAGGGGGGUGUCUAGUAGACAAAUUAGAAGCUUCAUUUGCAAUACAUCCUUGAGAUCAAAUUGUUUUGCAUUUGAAAUUAGAUGGUCAGAAUAGUCAACUGUAACUUCUUUCGAUAAAGUUAUAUCCAAUGAGUGCACUUUAUUUUGUAUGAGGUUCCCUCUCCUUUUACCCUUAACUUUUGCUUUGGUAGUGAUUAUGCCUGUCCCCCACUAGCAGUCUAGCAAUACAAGAGUCCACCAUCCUAAGUAGAAGGACCCUUCUUCCCCCACAACACUGUCCACAGAAGCAAACAAACUCUGAAAGAAGCAAGAAGCGUUGGAUGAUUUCUUGGUUGCCAUGUUCAAAGACAAGUAGUUUUGCUCUUCUGUAGAAAAUGCAGCAAUACGGUCACAGGGGUUUCCUGAUUACCAUUCCAACCAUCCUUGGAAGCAUUUUCUAUUCAUUUUCCCUCGUUUCCAAGAACCGCAGAGCAAGAAGAAGAAUUUCAUUUUCAAGCUUGUCUCUGCAUGCAUCUGCAUUGUUGCACUUUCUGCUGCAGAAUUCUUAUACUUGCUUUAGUAGCAUAAAUAUAAAUGAGGUGAAUGCAUGAACUGCCAGCAAUAUUUAAAAUGAAGUUAUGCACACCAAAACCAGAACACAUUUUUCAUUCCAAUCACAUGAAGUUCUAUUACAUUAGAAAUCUGAAAAGGAAAAGGGGGAAAACUUAUUCUAUAGUCUAUACCCUAUGCACACUCAAAAACAAUAAAAAGGAAUCCAAUCAGCUGGUUAAUCUCCUUUAACCUCUUGUUUUUUGUCCUCUGCUUCUUUAAUUAUAUAUAGGCGAGAUGCCAUGGUAUAAUUACAUUCUGACUACUAAAUUAUAUAAUAGGUUCUGUACAGAUGAUGAAUCGAAGGCCAAAAACUGGAUCGGAAGGUGGAACACCCGAAACCAAAUCAAGACAAACAAAAGAAUGACACACAUUAACAAGCACACAGGUUUAUAUGUGAGAAUUAGGGUCGUACUCUUCUAGUAAGGAAAAAGAAAAAUGACUCAGAUCAUGUCAUUAGAUGUAUCUGAGAUGCUAGAAUGCACCGUUGCAUUCUAGCCAAGGAGUCUUGGAAUGCAGAUCUUCUAUGCCUCCUAAUAAAACUUCAGGCCAUGAUGGCUGCAAUCCUAGGAAACUUACCUUAAAACAGGGAAGAAAACUUAACAAAGAAAGGGCUAGACCAUUUUCUGUAUGUGAGAUGGCUCAGAGAGCUUUGUUAUAGACUUUGGAGGAGGGCUCUUCUGCAAAGGGGAGGUUGAGAAGGGUUGAUGCUUGGAUUGGGGCAUGGAGACUCCACUCCAAGUGUCUUUAGUAGGAAGUUCCUUUCCUGAAAAAAGGCCAAAGAAAAUAAAAGGAGAGAAGUGUCAGAAAUAUUCAAUGUGAUGUCCAUCUAUAUUGUGUAUAUAUGAAGCAAACACAAACACUAAUGCUAGAAACUUGUGAAAGAUAUUCAUAAUUGGAGUUGGACUUUAGUUCCAUAUGACCUGUAAUUCUAUAUUCUUAAAUCAGAACUUUUUCAUCAAUAAAAAAUGUCAGACAAGACAGAAUGGCAGAAAGUCUAGAUACUUUGUUAUUAAUUGAGACGGAAUAUUCUUUUUCUUUAUUUUUCAACAAAUUUUAAUUCAAUCUAGAUUCACUAGCAGGAGGAACUAAAAGUAUGCAGUCAAGUGAUCUUUAGAAUCCAUCAUUAGCAAUUUAAUAGGCAACAUGCAGAACCAUACUUGAUUUCAUUUAAGCUUCCUAGAAGGGAUAAAUAAAGCUGUACAGAAACGCUAUUUGGUGAACAGUUGCUUUACCUGCCAGUUAAGAUGUAUAAGAACCAAUCCCUAAGGUGAUGUUAACAUCAUUUGUUAUAUCAAGAUUUGAAUUGAGAAUCAAAAUCAUCAUUUUGUGAAUCGAGAAUUGAGAACCAAAUAAAAUCAUUUAAAUAAUGAGAAGGAUGCUUCUUCAUAAUAGACAAAUAUAUUCUUACUACAUUAUGUGGUUCUAUGUUAGGAAAAGAAGAAGGAUCAGGGAAAAAAUGGCUAUUGGGGAAAAAGCUAAAGGAAAGAUUUUACUUGCACUUUUCAAUAGCGAAAAAUGAGGUGAAAUCUUAAAUGUUGAUGCUAUAAGGUUUGACCACCCUCUUGAAAAAGAAUAGACUGCACAGGUAGAUUCAUAUUGAAUCAUAAUUCAAGAUAGACUGCACCAGUAGAUUCAUAUUGAAUCAUAAGAUUUGGUUACGAUUCAAAUACAUUUAAAAUUCACUCUAUAGAUUCAAAUUGCUAAGAUGGAAAACUGAAAAAAUUUCAAGGAACUAUUGGCUCUAUUGAUCUAAGGUUAAAUUGAAUAAGUUCCAAAAAAUGAGUUAAUGGCUACAAAUAACGUCUUAUGCAACAAUCUAAAAAUUUGUGUCAGGCAUGUUCUUUGUCUCCUAUUUGGUAUAAAAAUUUGCCUUUGGCUCUAAUAACAUUUUUGGCCACUUUGAUUUAUGUUAAUCUUGGCAAGUACGUAGGGAUGACAGAGCUACACAAGGAACAUAUUUAUCUGUAACUUCUUAGACUUGGACUUCAGGUUGAAGUUAGGUGACUCCAGGGCUGGAAUCACUAACUGUAUGUUAUAGUUUAAUGAUGUUCAGGAUAAAGUUUCUAGAUUACAAUGUAACUAGAUUUUAAUUCUUUGGAUGGAACAGGCUGCAAAAGCAGCCGAUGAUGCUGCUUCGUUUCAUCUGCACAAUCAAAUAUUAUCUGUAGCUGUAGAUGUAGAUAUACUCACACAAUUCCUAAUGGCUUAAUUGAAACUAAUUUCAAAACCAAGACGAUGGCUUGAUUAUCAGCAUAAAAAGCCAUCAGUUGGAGACAAAUAGCAGACUCAAUUACUGUUUCCUUAUCAGCAUUAGUGUAUCGUCCAUGCCACUCAUCGAUGGAGCAAAUUCAGAAGUCAGACAAUAUAGUUGGUUGUUAACUUUCCUCUAUAGUCUAUACUUCUUAGUGUGAUCGUUAAGCUAGUAAGGAUAAUAAGCCAAGUACUACUGCUGCUGAAGUCUUCAUAAUCAUUGGUCAAUUUCCCAGUAUCCUUAUCGUUACAGUCAUGACCAAGGAAGGAGCAAGUAAUAGUGCUUGUAUGACUUUCUCCUGCUGGUGUGCUGGUUUAACAAGCACAGAACUGUUAUGUAUUUCAAAGUUGCUUCCUUGAUGUGGAAAGUCCUGAAAUUCUACUAGUAGCAUUAAGAGCUUCACUACUACUACUCCACUAGUGUUGCUACUAUUGCUGCUACCACCACUAAUACUAGUAAGAUGAAAAUUCACAAGCCCUUAUCAACUAUGACCAAUGUUUUUAUAUCUAGUGAGAUAAAUGAUUCCAGUUAACUUACACUUUCUGAAAAUUUUGGGCUGGGAAUCCCUGCCGCCAAGGAUCUGAACAGUGGGGUAACUUGAAGGGGUGAACUGAACUCUGUACUUGAUGAGGCAGAAACAACUAUAUCAUUGUUGGCUUGCUCAUCAAAAGAUGAAAAUAUCUCCCCUGCAAUGUAUUUAGAAUUGUCAGCAAAUUCAAUUUUAUGGGAAUUACCCUCCACAUGUGCACCAAUCUCAACUGGAGUUUUUUCUGUUUUAUCAGUGGCUGUAUAAGGCAUUAGAGUUGAUCCUGUACUGUAUUCAGAGCUGGCUGGAGACUCCUCGUAUAGAUCAGGCUGCCUACAAUGUUUUAACCAGAAAUUAGACAUCCUAUGAUAUGCAGAACUUGCUUAAACAGAAUAUCAAACCACGCAAUACCUCCAAGAUGGUCGACUUCCAUCAUUACUACUCCUUAAAUCCUCUAUCAAGUCUUUAAAGUCUUCAAGUCGAAAAUCCAUGUCAGUGAAUCUAUAUCUGAGGAUAUCAUUUUCUUUCUGAUUCAGGAAGUCUUGAAGGACCUGAAUAUACAUUUAUUGAAAAAUAUGAGGACAACCUAUGAUGCUAAAUUUGCAUGCAUCGCAUCAGUUCCACCCAAAUAAGAAGUUUAGGUUCCUCUUCUUAAGUUUGUGGGAAAAAUAUAAUCAGUUCAACCUUCUCAUGAUGCCUGAGCAUACUUGUCCUGACAAGAAGGCACAACUAAUUUAUAAAAUGAUUACAACUAUGGUCUUAGAGAUGAAUGUACAUUUAGGGCAUUCAAUCCACUUGAAUCUCCAUUUGCAGUUGCGCUAUCCAUUGUCCUAUUCUCAUGUUUGGUCCCCUUAACUGUCAAGGACAUUACCCCUUCCAAAUAACACACACACCCCUCCCCCUCACCCCGGCUCCCCACACCUGUCAAAACCUUAGUUCCCAAGGUAGAAAUUAUAGCUCUGCUAUGGAAACACUGUUCCUAUACAAGUGAAUGAGAUGAGCUCACCUUCCAUGCAUUUUCUAGACUCUGCUCUGUAUUCUCUGCAUUAACUUUCAAUGCAAGUGAACUGAGAAGUUCUGCCUGUUGCAUCAGGACAGCUAUCUUUGGAUCAUCCUUUCUGAGAAAUGUUCCUUGAGUCUUACUGUCUUGAGAUGCUGAACAAAUGGGAAGAAAGAUAGAUAUUAUGUUUCAAGGAGUUAAGAUUUAGAUCAAAGCAAGCCAUAUUGAUCAAGAUGAAAAUUUGCAGAAAUUGUGUUUGUCUUGUGUGGGACUCCUUGUGUUUCCCAGUUUUAUAGGCAAUUUAAUCACAUCAUAAUUCAAAAGUUCUUUGUUUUAGGUGAUUUACCAUCACCAGAGACCUCCUUGGCUUGAUGCUGACCAGCCACAUUAACAUUAUGUAAAUUUUGUGCCAACACAGCAAAUGGAGGCCUAGACUGCUGAUUACCACAUUGCGGAUGUGAUCUGUCUGCCAAUUUGCAAUAUUCUGAAUGAGCAGAGAUGUGUGACCUCCUGAAUGACACACAUAUGAGUUUUAGUAGAUGAAGUAUUUUUGGUAUUGACUAUUGUAUGCAUACAUCUAAACCCAUUUUACCUCGUUUUCUUAGCAGGUGUUGCAUUUUCUGUUGUUCCAUCUGCAUUGAACCCAUUAUGGAAAAGGAUUCUUUUGUUGUUGGAGUUGAUAAAUGUGUUUUUAUUCUCUUUU